UACGGAGGGAGCUAGCGUUAUUCGGAAUUACUGGGCGUAAAGCGCACGUAGGCGGCUUUGUAAGUUAGAGGUGAAAGCCCGGAGCUCAACUCCGGAACUGCCUUUAAGACUGCAUCGCUCGAAUCCGGGAGAGGUGAGUGGAAUUCCCGGUGUAGUGGUGAAAUGCGUAGAUAUCGGGAGGAACACCAGUGGCGAAAGCGGCCGGCUGGGCCUUUUCUGACGCUGAGGCGCGAAAGCGUGGGGAGCGAACCGG
rnacentral:rRNA from 1 species